rnacentral:lncRNA from 1 species
AAAAUCCACGGAAUCACUCGGAACUAGGCUCCUCCUCUCGUCCUGCUCAGGUGCGCCGGCCUCUUCCUCCCUCCCUUCCCUGCGUCGCCGGCCCUCUUCCUCCCUCCAUUCCCUGCGCCGCCGGCCCUCUUCCUCCCUCCAUUCCCUGCGCCGCCGGCCCUCUUCCUCCCUCCCUCCGUCUGCCGCGCCGCCGUCAACCCUCGAUGUGCUGCGCCGCCGUCAACCUUCCUCCCUGCUGCACCGCCGGCCGUCUACCUCCCUCCCUCGUUCUCAUCCUCUCUCGAUCUGAUCUGAUGCAACUCAUUUCUUUCUUGAUCUGCAGGAUAGAAGGAGAACAAGGCAGGGUACUCCGGCGUGGCGGCAUUGCGAAGCAGAGCUUCCUCUCCUGAAGGUACGAACCUUCUUCCUCACACAUAAAAGAACAGACUCACACAUAAAAGCAAGCGCGGCACCGCCCUAGUCUCCUCUCUAUUGCGGCCUCCGCCUGGAUCUGACUGGAUCCUCA